rnacentral:lncRNA from 11 species
CAAUUCCAUCACAGCACCAGGAGGUCAUUACUUGAAGGAGGGAAUACUUCUAUUUACACAAGGGCCUUGCCUCCUCCAUCCCUUCCCAAAGGUGUCUCCACACAGCGCCUACUUGAAGCAAAUGGAUCCUCGCUUUCCCAGCAGCACUUUGCGCUACACAAUCAUCGAAGGAGCCUUGUACCCCCUCCCAAGUAUGAUCAUCAGUUCCUUACCUCUUCUCCAGCAACUGAGAACCAAGAGCAGCAGCAGCAGGGGAAAGCCAUAAUUAUCAGAAGAACAGGGAAGACUCCUCCCUUUCCCUACAAGGUUAACGGACACCUGCCAAGAUUGCUUCAAUGUGAUUGCUCGCCAACUUGGGUAGAAUGAAAACAACAAAACAAGUGGAACACCCUUUCAAAACUGUGGCCAGUGGCACAGCAAAGCUGGAGGCCGACAGAUAAAACCUAUGGAUAAGACACCCAGUCAAGCUGUGUUCCUUUCUGUAUGUUUCUAUUCAAGGGACUAAUUGCUUCAAGCAGGUCAGACUUGUUCCCUCAGCAAACAAACUGUUCAUUGUCAAACAAACCCUUUGCACUUGAAAAGAUGACUUCCUCUACACUCGGCACUCCUGGAGUGUACCAUUUCUCCCACUGGGGGUGAAAGAGAGCAAAGAGGCAUUGGCUUAUACCAAUGUGCUGGCAUAAUUCUAAAUGAAAGAAAAACAAGUCAGCUCCUGCUUUUCAUAAGGCCAAAGCAAUACUUGCUUGUAACUCAAUGGAUAGAUAUAUCAAGUCUUGCAGAUUUGCUUAUAUUUUAAAAACCACAUGGUAAAGGGUUAUUGCUCCUAUGAAAUUAUUUCCUGAUGAUUUCUGGUGUGCCCUCAUUGAUGUUCCAAUGAGUCAAAAAGCCAUGCCCCAUUUGUACACUUCUUGGCCACCCUCUUCCCUGCAUUCCUGCCCCCUACCACAACAAUAUUAGCUGCAAUAUCUCAGAAAGCCAUUUUUGAAAAUUAUUUCUUGAGGAGAUCUGACAUGCCUUAAAUGAUGUCCCAAUAAGUUAUCCCUGCAAUGUAAGUUAUGGCUCCCACCAAAAAUAAUCUAAGUUAUUAUUCUAGACAUAGGGAGAAGCAGGAAUCCCCAAAAAAGACAGUAAAAGAAUCAUAUCAUAAUAAAAACAACCAACUAAAAGAAGCCAUGUAUUUGCUUACUCCUGUUUAUUUUAUUUACCACAUGUAUCAAUUUCCAUAUGGUUGACUCAGGAGAAUCUCCCAAUUACCUUUCUGAAAAUAAGGAUAGUAAUAUAAUCCAUACAUUUUCCCUUUCCUCAUAUUCCAUAGGUUGGGGUCUCCUGGUUUCAAUCACCAUGUCACUGAUAUAAAGUCUGGUAUCAGUAUGGCCACGUUUAUUUCAUUGAAAAGAUUUACUAAAUGUAUACCAUCCAAAACUAUACUCUUCACAAAAUGCUGGAUGGACACUACAUAGUGUUCUCAUCAUCAAUUCCAUUCCAUUUUUGCAACUCUCAAAUGUUUUUUGUUUGUUUUUAAAAAAAGAUAUAUAUCUCAAAAUGAAAAUAUUGAUAUUGCCAUAAUUUUGAAUUAGAAUUUGUAUUUAGACAUGCAUAGGAUUCCACAGAUCACAUGGAACAUUUGGGGCACUUUUCAAGCUAAAAAUAAUUCUGAAAAUCAGUGUUAAAAUAAAAUGAGAGGAGGGUUUCAGGGAAUUUGUGGAUUGUAAACAUGGCCACAUAUGAUUCAUGGGCUACACUUCAACUUCACCAUAAUAAAAUGUUAAGAAUUGUCUUGCUGUAUUCAGAAAAAUGCAAAAUCUGGUGAAUGGCAAAAUACUCAUUAAUAUAUUAGUCUAACAACUGGUUAACUGAUGCAACAAAUAUGUGUGAUUUGUACACUAUGAUUUCUGUUUUCCAGAAUGCAUAUGCACAUGGUGCCAUGUCCCCCUCUGAGCUAGUAACAGUAUAAGCCUGUUUGGGGAAGUGCUCAGCACAGCAACUGCUCUUUUGAAAGACCCGCCCCAAAUGAAAGUUACCCAAACAGUUCAGAGACUCCACCCUCCUCUGGAAACUUGAAACAGGAUCCUGACUACGAUUUUAUUCUUCACUCUCCCUGUCUUGAAUUUCCCAGCUACUGACUGAUUCCUCAGAUUCUGAAGAUCUGGGCUGCUACUAACCCUUAUGGCUUCUCUACUCUCCAAGUGAAUGACAACACAUAGUUGGGAGACCAGCAGGAGGGAAAUGCAAGCAAAGUGAAUAAAAGCUGUGUGAAUGUAUUCCACUUCCAGAUGCCAUUUCAGAAGUCACAGCCCUUGAAUAACAAUAUUUUAAAUAAAUAUGGAGAAAAAGAC